ACUAUUCGGUUACCAACAUUCCUCAAAAUAUCUUCUUUUGUGUUCAGCAGAAAGAAAGAAACCUAUACAGGUUUGGAACAACUUAAGAGUGAGAAAAUUAUGACAGAAUUUUAAUUUUGGAUGAACCAUCUCUUUAAGUAGCAUGUAGUAAACCAAAUUAAUCUUGAAUGUAUUUGAAAAUGGACUUCAAAAUGGCCUUGUUUUCUUGAAACAUCCAAACCUAUUGUUUACCAGAAACCAAAAUGCAAAAACUAAAAUCUACUCUGUGGAAAUGGAAAACAAGUGUCACUCAAAAGAAUGAACAUCCACUGUAAAUAACAUUGUGAUUUUAUUUUCUCUGUUCAAGUUUUUUGUCUUUACAUUUUUAUGUCUGACUUUGAACAAAAUGAUGGUGUGACAUAUGAAAACAUUACCAUUGUGUGUUAAACAUGCAAAGUACAAAGUCCUUUCUUUUGUAAACUUACUAUACACCCUUAAGAAUGUUAUAUGGUGGCAUUUUUAUAUAAUAGAAUAUAAUAGGCUUUAAAUCAGAAUUGUUUAUACCUUUUCUGUGGAGAGGAGAGAGUAUAUUAUGUCCAGAUGUGAGUCAAUAACUGUGCUGUGUGUUGUUGAACUAUUUAAAUGUAUGUCCUUUUUCCAUACAUCGGGAAGGUAUUUAUGCUGCCCUCUGACCUCAGUUUCAUUUAUGUGGGAGACACAAUUUUAAUUGACUUUGUUGCAUUCACAUUUUAUGAGGAGUGCUCAUUUAUGAGCCUUGUUGAAAUAAAAUACGCAUUGUGUUCGGUGUUUCCAGCCACACGUUUAGUUAGUCCUAAAAAGUGGCUUUUAGUUUGACCGUAUAAACCAUGCUUCCUCUUGUUAAAUAUCUAUGCAGAAUUGUAAAUGAAUCUGACUGAGUUAAUUCAUGCAGAAGACUACCAUAUUCUUGACUAAGGCAUUUCCAUCUCUAUUUCAGACAAUUUAACUAAUCAAGCAACUAUAUUAGGACUCAAUCAUCCAUUUAUUUAAUUCCAACAUUUAGGCAGAGAGAGAAAACACUGUGCUGCACGAAAUGACUGCUGAGGAGACGGUUUGCAGUCAUUUAAACGAAUGUGUGAGCUUGCAGAUUGACAAGAUGGAAGUCUCUGUCUUGCAUGGACGCCGCAUUGGGCCAUUAAAAGAUUGCCUGUUUAAUUAGCUCUGUUAAUGCAGUGAUUUGUAAGAUGGCACCCUGGGCCAGGGGCCAGUCCACAAAGCAGCAGAUUUUCAUCUCUCUCAAUUUGAUGGCACAAAUGUUAAUUUACAGAGAGGUUUGUUUUAGGGUGCAAACAGAAUGGAGUAUAAGCUAAAAACUAUUUUGUAUUGCAUUUAUUUAUUUGUUUAUUGAAACAUAGCAUACAAGUUAAUAAUGUAAUAUAAUUGUUUAUUUUGCGUUCUUAAUGCAGCGGCUUAACUAGCAUAGAAUUAUGUCAAUAAUAGACCCAAACUGGGUCACACCGGACAAUAGUUCGAUUUAAUAUUAUAUCUGCUGUUACCUCAUUAACUUUCUGUCAUUUAAAAUUGUGUCUAUUCCAUGUGCUGUUUCAUUGUGCAAUUUUCUUCUGUCAGGGGAUUUU